GGAUGACCAGCAUCCCAAACAGAUAAAUGCACAGAAGGUUCCACAUGGCCUUGUCUGGAGCAGCGGCUUCAAGGAUUUCAGUGGAGUGAAGCUCAGGAGGCGUGGAGCUGGCGCCGGGGCCACAGCCGCAGCCACAGCAGCAGCGAGAGUAGCUCUGACUUAGAAAAAGAAGGGCCCGGUGAGGGACGCGGUAGAUGAAGGAUACAUCUGGAGCACGCAGCCUGCUGCAGAGGGGCUGGGGAACUGGGGAUGGGCAGGCUGGACAACGCACCACACAUGGAAGCCACGUAUUCUUCCUUUUCUAAAACUGGUGCUACAGAAAUGUGCGUGUUCUGUAACAUACAAAAAUUAAAAGUUGUCUGUCUGCUGGAAA